UAAACCCUGAAGUUCGAUGGAAAAUGGCCACAUGUCAAGGAAGGCUGCUGAGUUUGAGAGAGUCUUAGUGUCCAACAGAGAAGACCCGGGACUAUGCUGUAAAGGAGAAAAUUACAAGGAGGCCUGGAUCUGGGAAACUUAAAUCUACUAGUGAAUCAGAUGGGCCAUGCCGAUCCAUCUUAAGGCAGUCAGAGCUGCUAAAAUAAUGAA